AGCGGAGGAAAAGAAACCAACAGGGAUUGCCCUAGUAACGGCGAGUGAAGCGGCAAGAGCUCAAAUUUGAAAUCUGGCUCCUCCGGGGCCCGAGUUGUAAUUUGCAGAGGAUGCUUCGGGUGCGGUCCCCAUCUAAGUGCCCUGGAACGGGCCGUCAUAGAGGGUGAGAAUCCCGUCUGGGAUGGGCGGCCGUGCCCGUGUGAAGCUCCUUCGACGAGUCGAGUUGUUUGGGAAUGCAGCUCUAAAUGGGUGGUAAAUUUCAUCUAAAGCUAAAUAUUGGCCGGAGACCGAUAGCGCACAAGUAGAGUGAUCGAAAGAUGAAAAGCACUUUGAAAAGAGAGUUAAACAGCACGUGAAAUUGUUGAAAGGGAAGCGCUUGCGACCAGACUCGCCUGCGGGGGUUCAGCCGGUACUCGUACCGGUGUACUCCCCCGUGGGCGGGCCAGCGUCGGUUUGGGCGGCCGGUCAAAGGCCCCCGGAAUGUGUCGCCUCUCGGGGCGUCUUAUAGCCGGGGGUGCAAUGCGGCCAGCCUGGACCGAGGAACGCGCUUCGGCACGGACGCUGGCGUAAUGGUCGUAAGCGGCCCGUCUUGAAACACGGACCAAGGAGUCUAACAUCUACGCGAGUGUUCGGGUGUCAAACCCGUCCGCGCAGUGAAAGCGAACGGAGGUGGGAGCCUUUCGGGGUGCACCAUCGACCGAUCCUGAUGUCUUCGGAUGGAUUUGAGUAAGAGCGUAGCUGUUGGGACCCGAAAGAUGGUGAACUAUGCCUGAAUAGGGCGAAGCCAGAGGAAACUCUGGUGGAGGCUCGCAGCGGUUCUGACGUGCAAAUCGAUCGUCAAAUUUGGGUAUAGGGGCGAAAGACUAAUCGAACCAUCUGGUAGCUG
rnacentral:rRNA from 2 species